rnacentral:rRNA from 1 species
GCUUAACACAUGCAGCGAACGAGCGACCCUCGACGGAGUUUCGGUCGAACUGAAGGACGUGCUUAGUGGCGGACGGGUGAGUAACGCGUGAGCACCUGCCUUGGAGUGGGAAGUAACAGCUGGAACAGCUGCUAUACCGCAUGAUAUGUCUGUAUCACAUGGUACUGGACAUCAAAGAUCUAUCGCUCUGAGAUGGGCUCGCGUCUGAUUAGCUAGUUGGUGGGGCAACGGCCACCAAGGCGACGAUCAGUAGCCGGACUGAGAGGUUGGCCGGCCACAUUGGGACUGAGACACGGCCCAGACUCCUACGGGAGGCAGCAGUGGGGAAUAUUGGGCAAUGGGCGCAAGCCUGACCCAGCAACGCCGCGUGAAGGAAGAAGGCUCUCGGGUUGUAAACUUCUUUUAUCAGGGACGAAGCAAGUGGCGGUACCUGAUGAAUAAGCCACGGCUAACUACGUG